GUGGGGAAUAUUGGACAAUGGGCGAAAGCCUGAUCCAGCCAUGCCGCGUGUGUGAAGAAGGUCUUCGGAUUGUAAAGCACUUUAAGUUGGGAGGAAGGGCAGUAAGUUAAUACCUUGCUGUUUUGACGUUACCGACAGAAUAAGCACCGGCUAACUUCGGGCCAGCAGCCGCGGUAAUACGAAGGGUGCAAGCGUUAAUCGGAAUUACUGGGCGUAAAGCGCGCGUAGGUGGUUUUGUAAGUUGGAGGUGAAAUCCCCGGGCUCAACCUGGGAACUGCCUCCAAAACUGCAUGACUAGAGUACGGUAGAGGGUAGUGGAAUUUCCGGUGUAGCGGUGAAAUGCGUAGAUAUAGGAAGGAACACCAGUGGCGAAGGCGACUACCUGGACUGAUACUGACACUGAGGUGCGAAAGCGUGGGGAGCAAACAGGAUUAGAAACCCGGGUAGUCC
rnacentral:rRNA from 1 species